rnacentral:rRNA from 1 species
GGAAGGACUUUUCGCCCAAAGGGAUGGGGCAAAUGGGCUUCAUCCGCGCGAGGAUGGGACUGCGUCCCAUCAGGCAGUUGGUGGGGUAAUGGCCCACCAAACCUAUAACGGGUACGGGCCGUGAGAGCGGGAGCCCGGAGAUGGGCACUGAGACAAGGGCCCAGGCUCUACGGAGCGCACCAAGCGCGAAACCUUCGCAAUGCGCGAAAGCGUGACGGGGCUAUCCCGAGUGCUAGCCGCUGAGGCUAGCUUUUGCUCAGUGUAAGAAGCUGAGCGAAUAAGUGGGGGGCAAGACUGGUGUCAGCCGCCGCGGUAAUACCAGCUCCACGAGUGGUCAGGACGGUUAUUGGGCCUAAAGCGUCCGUAGCCGGCUCAGCAAGUUUAUGGUGAAAUCCGUCGUCUCAAGCGUCGGAGUGCUGUAAAUACUGCUGGGCUAGGGAGUGGGAGAGGCCGAGGGUACCUCCGGGGUAGGGGCGAAAUCCUAUAAUCCCGGAGUGACGACCAGUGGCGAAAGCGCUCGGCUAGAACACGUCCGACGGUGAGGGACGAAAGCUGGGGCAGCAAACCGGAUUAGAUACCCGGGUAGUCCCAGCCGUAAACCAUGCGGGCUAGUUGUCGGAGCGGCUUAGUGCCGCUCCGGUAACGCAGGGAAGCCAUUAAGCCCGCCGCCUGGGGAGUACGACCGCAAGGUUGAAACUUAAAGGAAUUGGCGGGGGAGCACCACAAGGGGUGAAGCUUGCGGCUCAAUGGAGUCAACGC